rnacentral:rRNA from 1 species
UGGGGAAUCUUGCGCAAUGGACGAAAGUCUGACGCAGCGACGCCGCGUGGGGGAUGACGGGUUUCGGCUUGUAAACCCCUGUUGCCCGGGACGAACUUCUCCUUUCGAGGAGAUUGACGGUACCGGGUGAGGAAGCACCGGCUAACUCUGUGCCAGCAGCCGCGGUAAUACAGAGGGUGCGAGCGUUGUCCGGAAUCACUGGGCGUAAAGGGCGCGUAGGUGGCGCUGCAAGUCGGUGGUGAAAGCUCGUCGCUUAACGACGAGUCGGCCAUCGAAACUGCAGGGCUGGAGCACUGUAGGGGCAGAUGGAAUUCCGGGUGUAGCGGUGGAAUGCGUAGAGAUCCGGAAGAACACCAGUGGCGAAGGCGGUCUGCUGGGUAGUUGCUGACACUGAUGCGCGACAGCGUGGGGAGCAAACAG